rnacentral:rRNA from 1 species
GAGUUUGAUCCUGGCUCAGAACGUACGCUGGCGGCACGCCUAACACAUGCAAGUCGAACGAAGUAGCAAUACUUAGUGGCAGACGGGUGAGUAACAUGUAGGUAUCUGCCCUUUGGCCUGGAAUAACACGAGGAAACUUGUGCUAGUACCGGAUAAGUCUUUACGGAGAAAGCUUUAUGCACCAUUGGAUGAGCCUGCACUUGAUUAGUUUGUUGGUGGGGUAAUGGCCUACCAAGACUGUGAUCAAUAGCUGAUUUGAGAGGAUGAUCAGCCACAUUGGGACUGAGACACGGCCCAAACUCCUACGGGAGGCAGCAGUGGGGAAUCUUGCACAAUGGAGGAAACUCUGAUGCAGCGAUGCCGCGUGAGUGAAGAAGGCCUUUGGGUUGUAAAGCUCUUUCGUCGGGGAAGAAAAUGACUGUACCCGAAUAAGAAGGUCCGGCUAACUUCGUGCCAGCAGCCGCGGUAAUACGAAGGGACCUAGCGUAGUUCGGAAUUACUGGGCUUAAAGAGUUCGUAGGUGGUUGAAAAAGUUAGUGGUGAAAUCCCAGAGCUUAACUCUGGAACUGCCAUUAAAACUUUUCAGCUAGAGUAUGAUAGAGGAAAGCAGAAUUUCUAGUGUAGAGGUGAAAUUCGUAGAUAUUAGAAAGAAUACCAAUUGCGAAGGCAGCUUUCUGGAUCAUUACUGACACUGAGGAACGAAAGCAUGGGUAGCGAAGAGGAUUAGAUACCCUCGUAGUCCAUGCCGUAAACGAUGUGUGUUAGACGUUGGAAAUUUAUUUUCAGUGUCGCAGGAAACCGAUAAACACACCGCCUGGGGAGUACGACCGCAAGUUAAAACUCAAAUGAAUUGACGGGGACCCGCACAAGUAGUGAGCAUGUGGUUUAAUUCGAAGAUACGCGCAGAACCUUACCACACUUGACAUGUUCGUCGCGACUCUAAGAGAUUAGAGUUUUCGGUUCGGCCGGACGNNNNCAG